CAUUUCAGGGGGGGAAAUAGAGGUCUGUUCUUUGUCCCAGCAGGAGAAACAAAAGUCAUAAAAACAUAAAGACAUGUUCACAAAGAUGUGUGAAAAUGAUUUUGGUAAACGAGUUUUAGAACACAUACUCCCAGAAACUCUUAGGAGCUGACCCAGUGAUUGCUAAGCGUUACAGGCCCUGCAGGGAAUGUUAGUUUUGCCAACAGAUCCACAGCACUAACACUAGGGGAACAUUUGCAACGGAUUCCCCGGGGUAGCCGGAGGAGAGGCUGGUAGUAAUAAAAUUACAUGGAGAAUGUAUCAUUUAGGAGAAGGAAAUUCUCCAUGUUAUGAGGUCAGAGGAAGUCUAUUGCUUUCUGGGGACAGACAGAAAAAAGAAACACUUCAUUAGGUGAGUUCUAUACUCAAGUCACAAAUCCCUUUACUGCCACAAAUGUGCAGAAUCUUGUCAUCCACCGCUUGAGGCCUCCUGAGCUCUGUGUUCAGCAAUUGUGCCAGUGUAAUUAGGAGGAAUGAGGGCAAACAAGUUUAAGGGGAUGGAUGCACAUUGCCUUCUUUGUUUCCUCCCAUGUGGAAACUCACAGUGCUGCAUGUGCAAGUGCUCACUUCUGUGCGUGCAAAUGCACACUGGCACUCAAAGGAAUAACUCAGCAAGAAUUCUGUUUGAUUUCUCAAAAUGCACCACUUGAGCAGCCAAGGGAUGAGCAGCAGCUGCCAGCCGAGUUCCCAGCAGGUGGCACCAGCCCUUGCUGAACACUGCUCACCAGAGCGCUUCCUCACCGAGCGGCACAUCGCAAGGGGAUCGCUGGAGGUGGUGGUGGUAAAAGCUUUACUCCAGAGAUCAUUUCAUCAGAACUCUACAGAGCUCUUGAGUGGAAGGUUCUAAACGUUGUCUUAAUGGAUAUUUACCCCAAGUGCAUUUAACUCACAUUUGAAAGCUUUCAAAUUUAUGACAGUGGUGAAUUUACUGAGGAGCUCAAAUACUCAACCCGUCUGUGCAUUGCUUUCCCUUCUGCUCAAGGAGAAGCAGUGAGGCAAGUGUUCCCUCCUCCCCUGAUUAUUUGGCUGAAGAACCAGCAAGAGAAGGUGUCAUGAGGGAAAACAUCACACCUCCUGAAGAGCAGGCAACAGAGAGAAGCAAGCAGUAACUGCAUUGCACACAGUGCCUGAACAGAAUCACGGACCUGACCCCGUGUGCCCCAUCCCUACACUGUGCACACCCAGAGGAAAUACUCCUGGAGCAAUGCACCACAGCCACUGUGGAGAGAUAUCGGUUACCUUACUUCAUCAGGAAGGAAGGAAGAGAGGAGAAUAAUGAGAAUGUUUAAGAUCAGCCUCCUCAAUUGACAAAACACAGAUCAACAGAUACAUAACACACACACACACUGUGGGAUGCUUUGCUUAAUGAAGUGAGAUUGCUUUGUAAACCUACAAAUACCAAUAAAUCAAAGACAGUUUC